GAGGCGCGACACGUCUGGUGUCUAUUACGUAUUGAAAUUAUCAUCCAUCAUAUAACCAUCUUGUUGUACCUUUAGAUCAAUGCUCAGAUUGAUCGAGCCAUACUUGGGCUUGAAUAUCCAUUUGUUGGAUGUACUUGAUGUUGUCAUAUUAAUGGUUGAACCUAAUUAGGAUUUUCAGUAGACGCACCACACACCUGCUCAAGGGAUGUCUGGGGUAAAAUCUGAUUGCUAGAAAUUAUUUGAAAAAAUAAUUAGUUAUGAACCUACCCAUGGAUGCACUA
rnacentral:lncRNA from 1 species